CCCAAAACUGUUUUUAUCUCCCUCUCAUUCGUAUAUCUAAAUCUAGGUUUGUCCAGCAAAAGGGUAUAUGGAAUUGAGAAAAUGCCAUCGGCUCCUUCCUUGUGACGGCGUCAAUCUGUCUAGCGGUCACUUUUUCUCGCCUGCUCUGGCCAAUUUCUCAAUCGUAUCUUGUUCGCUUUACAUUCUCAUUCUGGUAUGUGAGUGAAUUAGUACUUUUCUUCACUUUCCAAUUUCACAGAUUUUAUGCCUUACUCUCGUUUCUUUUAUAGAUGUUGAAUUUAAGAGAGCAUUUUUGGUGUGUUUUCAAUUGCAUCUUUAUCAUACUAUAAUGUAUGUGCAUAUCUGUCGUUAUAUGUGUGGUCAUUGUAUAUUUUUACAUAUCGAAUACAAAUUUGACGUUAUUUUGUACAGAGAUAGGGGAAUGAAAGCAUCAUAUUGUUUCUACAAAGGAGAAAGGAACGAAAGUAUUCUGUUCCUUUCUUAAUUCAAAGCUUUCAUUCCUAGUAUUGAAAUUUCUUACAUGGUAAGAUUAACAUAAUACUCCUAUAUACAUGUGUGUGUAUGCUGAACAAAAGAAAUAUCUAUAAUUUGUUUUGCAUAUUAGGACUCGAUGGAUGAUUUGAACCAUAGUUACCUAAUUUGCUCAAAAUCUGGCGAAUUUCGUAUUGGUACGUUUGUUACCAUACUGAAUUCGUAUACGAAUUAAUUCGGUACAAUCCGGUGUAUUCUAGUGUUCAAUUCGAUGUAUUCUACCGUUCAAUUCGGUGAAUUAUUAAGGUUCAAUUCAGCGAAAUUCGUUUUCUGAAACAGAGUAUUCUGGAUUUCAAUGUAGCAAAUUCCGAUUUCAUGUAUACGGAUUUUUAUGUUCUAUACGUAUUAGGGUUGGAAACGGCAGGAAUACGUCUCUUAUACGUACUUGGCGGGAUUGUGAAAAAGCGGGAAACAACCUUCCUAGAUUUCGUAUGGUCGUUUCCGUAAUUCUUAUCAAUUACCAAAACCGAGAAUCAAUAUAUUAUAUAUACCUGCUGAUUUCAUCUUCAAUCUCACACUUUCAAUUACACAUCUUCAAAUCCUUAUCUAUUACUUCAAAGUUCAAUGGCUUUUGGUAAGAAAAAAGAGUUAUCAUGGUGAUCAUUUGGAUUUAUGAAAUUAGUAACUUUUGCUUUAAUUUGUGUAUGCCGAAUCGGACGUAAUAGUACACCGAACCGAAUCGUACCAAAAUGAACCUACCCCCUCCGAACCAAAGUCACCCCAACUAGCGAAUCGCAAACCCGGACCGCGUACCCGAACCGGAGCGAACUGCGCAUUAGGUGACUAUGGUAUGAACGGCGACUCUUGUGGACAAUUAACAGCCAUGAAUCAUAUAUGAAGAAAAUGGUUGAAUAGGACAUAGAUAUGGCUCCUUGAUGGAAUACGCAGAUUUUCAAAGCAAGGUGCAUAUGGAAAGGCUAUUUCAAUUGGUAAACUUCAUCCUACCUUUAAUGGAAAGUCGAGACUAUUCACCAAACCAGGUUUGUUAAAAAUCGUACAUUUCUAUUAGUAAGUAGUUCGAAGCCAACCUCCCACUUACGCCAUAUGUAGUCGUCAUGAGAGAUUAAAAGCUUAGUAAAUCGAAUUUCUUCUUGUAGUUCAUUGUUUGAGUUGGUUUGAUAAAUAUAUAUGUUUUAGAUGUAUUAUUUUUUUUUGUUUAGAUUGCGCUUGAUUUUGACAUACUUAAUCGAAGAAAUUAAUUUAAGGGCUCGUUUUUUUGUUGUGUUAGUAGAAAAAAAUUCUAUACAAGGUCCCAUUUUUACUAGUCACAUAGUGCAUUUUAGUUUUAGAGAUGGUCUGGUGCCUUGUUAUAACAUUAUCCAUGUUUCAUGCAUUAGAUUAAUAUGGUUUUGAUGAAAGCUCUUAUCACCAACUUACAUGAAAACAGACAUGCCAGUUAGCAUUCACCCAUAGCAUGGUUUUCGAUAUAGAAGAUUAUUUUGACAAUAUUUUCUUCCUAUUUUCUUAUAAAUAUUGCAAGAAUAAAGGAGAACUACAAUCCUAUAGAGGAUGGCAGCAUUACUACAUAUUCUUUUAUGGUUAUAAUGAAAAAGAGAACUAUGGAUACCGCCAACUUUUUGGAAGAGUUGUUAAAAAUACAUUGAUAAAAAAAGUAGAUGGUUUUUGCACAUCAUACAUGAUUACGAAGGGACUUGAAGAAUCAGUCAACGCAAACAUGUAAGUUGAGAAACUAGUUGCUGGAAAUGCGUAAAAGAUAUCGAAGAUGAUCAUGAAAGGAAAAUUUAACGAGCACAAAGCUAUGCAAAGAUAAUGAUAACUUGGACAAAACUUGGAAUGUAUGGAGCAAAAUGUUAUGAAAGAACUACCCGUUGAAGAUCAAGAUGAGUUCAAUGUUUUUAUUUCUUUUUGUUACUGUAAUUGACCAAUUGUGUUAACUAGAUAUGUGAGUUUGGACGAGUAUGUAAAGGUGCACCAUUUGACUAUUUACUGAUAUAUAUGUUGUUUUUGUGUAA